AUUCCUUCCAGCCCUUCCACCAGCUCUGUUACCCUCCUCGGGAUGCAUUCAGAGACCUGCACACCCUUCUCACAUUGCUCAGCAGGCAGCACUGCAGGUCCAAGCAAUGUAAUGUCCUUUCCUUGAGGAACAAUUGGCCAGUAACUGUACCCAAGGUCAGCAAGUCCUUGAGCUCUCUGCUGUGUCAGUGCCACAUUACAAAGGAUGUGAGUUACUCAUGUCUUUGCACAGAAGAAAGAAAAGACAGAGAGCGAUGAACACUAGAAGCUCUUUACAUGAAAUUUAGCACCUAAUAGACAGGAAAAAUGCAUGAUUUAGGAUUUAUUUAAGCUGUUUUUUUUUUUUUUCUUUUAGUUUCAAAAAAUAUGUAUUGCUUUUUUGGGUGGCACCCUGCCUUAACCGAGGAUAUGUUAACAGCCCCUAAGGAGAAGCUCAUAUGCUGAAGAAGACUGAGGGCUCAGUUUCCUGCAGAGGAAGAGUGCUGGAUGUAGCAUGGAAGCAGGCAGGCUGUGCAGCAAACUGAGACAUCCUGUGCCUCUGGUGCUGCCGUGUAAUGUAAGAAAAUAAGAGGUUCAUUGUGUUAUCUGAACAGAGAUUGUGCCUGUUUGUGCAGUCCUUGCUGUAUACAAAGCCAGAAGAGUUGACUCCCUGUAGCUAAAAUCCAUCCAAAUCCUCUACAAGUGACACAGGUAACGAGUAGGUAAAUCCUUUGUAUCCCAUUUUCACUGCUUUUGUAGCUCCCUUCUCUUUCUUUUUCUUAACUUUGGAAGCGUAUUUUUUCUGGUGGACAUUUUCUGAACUCCUCCAUGCUGAGUAACAGUGCUAGAUCUCUUAGAUUUAAGUGACAAACCUGACAGACUUAAGGAUCUGAUGCCAAAACUCUCCCCCAUGUGUAAAUACAGAAGAGGCACCAGAAGAGAAAAUGCGUGCUGUUGUCCCUUCCCUGCCUUACAGUAGACGUUUCUGCAUCUUUGGUUUGACCAUGUCUGCCUCUUUUAGUGCUUCCCAUUGUAUUUGGAGGACAAGUUUAAACUUUUCUAAAUAUUUUUAAUUAACUUUACAAUUCUAAGGUGAUAAGUAAGCAUAAGGAACACACAUAAUAUUAUACAUGAUGCAGUAUCUAUCACAGAAUAAUUGGCACCAAGCAAAAGUUAUUGCCAGUUAUUGCCUUUUAGGCUCUCAGAUACUUAAAUGGUUGAGAAUUUUCUGCAUUCAUAUUUCAAAGAAAAAAACAACUUGCCAAGCAAAGAGAUUGAAAAAUUAUAUCUGUUUAUGCUGAAUAUGUUCAGAUCAUUUCUAGAAUGAAAGAAAAUCUGGUUUCAUUAUCUUUAUUUAAGAACAAUUACUCACAAUUUGAGCUGAGUUUUUUGUAGAAAAACUUUAUUUUUUGUUCUAUUUAGGUAUCUGAUACUUCUUUUUACUUUGAAAGGAAAAUUACGUCAUUGAUGCAGAUGUGUCAGACAGUGGAAUAUCUUGGGCUAUCAAAACAGACUACACCAGUCAUGAUCAGAAACAUUUUGCUUCAGCAUGUAAGCCAUUAUUUCUAUAAAAUCAUUCAUAUUCUUAGGAUUUAACAGGCAUAUUUGGUGAAUUUAUUUACAUUUUUCCAAUGUUUUAUUCAUUUCUUGUUUCAGUUUUAUCUCUGUUAUUUCUGUUCCCCUGUCUUUCUUGAAUUUAUGAUUAGUGUUUCUUUAGGCAACAAAACAAUACAUUCCAGAUCAAGAGUUAUGCAAAGACAUAGCACUUUUUGAGGAAUAAAAUGAUUCAAUAAAAUAUCAGUAUUCAUAGCAAGUUUUCUUUCCUUGCAAGAGAUGUUGUAGGCAAAAGUUAUACUUAGACCAAAAUAAAAACUAUCCAAAGAGCAGAGGAAAAUGGAACAAACAAUAGAUGUUUGUGGAAAAUUCCAGUCACUACCUGGAUCUGGAUACAAUUGGCAAAGAAGACAAAAGAACUAAUGGCAUGGAUUUAAUGGAUCAAGUUUCUCUUCUGCAGUUCAUCUCCUCAUUAAUGGCCCAUGAAAAGUGAAGACCAAGAUAUUUGGACCAAAGAGCUGCCAGAGACUAAACCAACCAUUACCUCUUGAAAGAUUGCAUCAUUGAUGCUUUAAAUUAAAACUUUAUUGCCAUUGUAAAAUGUCUGUGAGUUACCCAGAGAAAAUAAAAU